GCCGUUCCCAUGGCGACCGAUGCGUCCCGCGCUCUAGGCGAAGACCGCGGCCCCGUCCCCGCGCCUCCACCGCCUUCUUCCAGGAGGAGGGGCCGUGCGGCGCCUGCCCGGGGGCCCUCAGGCCGCAGGCGGGCGCGAGCUUCAGGGAACUUAGGGGGCUCCCGCCUCCCCGGCCACGCGAGCGGGAACAGUCUCCUCCACUCGGAGCGCCACUCAUCAUGCCUUACCUGGAUGAUGCAGAAGUCCCUGGAAACAGAAGGUCUCACCCUUCUUUAUCUUUCUCAUGGCUUUCCAAGGCUCUUUAUCAUGUUACUUUCCUGCUCAGAAUUCUUUAAUGACUUGCCUCAAUGACCAGAUACAUGUGAUCUACAGUCAGCCUUCCAGCCUCAUCAUUCCUCUUCCAUUUCCUCCCCAGAAACACUGUACUUUAUGAAGCUCCUCCAAGACAUUAUAGAUCCAGACUCCUGUGCCUGACCACUGCCCAUGGCCAACUCUCUGCUGAUGACUGGACUUGACUACACAAGUUGUUGGCCAUCUUAAAACCACUCAAAGUUGACGGUCUCCUCUCCUGCCUCCUGCGGCUUCCAUUACCAUGGCAGAGACUGUGGUGUCUGAGGUGGUGUAGCGUACUGAAGCAAGGCUGUCUUGAAGAAGAGGAGACAACUCACAAUUCUACCACCUUUGUUGACCUCUUCUUCCCCCCAACUUAUUGCUGUAGAGGCUACCUGAGCUCAUUGUCCCUGGAGAUGGACCAAAUAGAAGAAUAAGCAGUGCCUGUGUGGUGGAAAGCUCUGUACACAAUGAUUAAGACUUAUUCCUGGGCCCCAACUACAGAAGAUAAGAGGGCAUAGGAAAAGUUUUUCCUCUCUACAAGCCAAAAGUCGCAAGGCUAAUAUUUACUCCCCUGAUUCUCUCCUCCAGAGCCCACACCCUUCAUCACUACUGAUAAAGUUUCAAAUAUGUUUUUCAAAUCUGGCAUUCAUGGUUGCUACUGCACUGGAAUAAUGGUAACAACAGGCUGAUGAGAAUCUUAAGUGGCACUUACUCAGUGGAGUAAUUGGAAGCGGCAAUGGUUAUACAAAUGAAUGCCCCUCAGAGGGAAGAAGGAGAGAUUUGCCUUGAAACUGCGGCUGUAAAAAGUUAGUGCUGGUAAGUGAAGAAACAGAAACUAAGUGAUAGAGAAUGGGAACUAAGGUAGAAAUAACUAACAAAGAUCACUGUGCAGAACCGUAGUGGUGUUCAGAGUAGAUGCGCAAGUCCAUAUGCAUGUAGCAAAUACAAGUCUCAACCCACAAAAUAAAGUGAAGAUGAAUAUA
rnacentral:lncRNA from 1 species